rnacentral:rRNA from 1 species
UGGGGAAUAUUGCACAAUGGGCGCAAGCCUGAUGCAGCCAUGCCGCGUGUGUGAAGAAGGCCUUCGGGUUGUAAAGCACUUUCAGCGAGGAGGAAGGUGGUGAGCUUAAUACGCUCAUCAAUUGACGUUACUCGCAGAAGAAGCACCGGCUAACUCCGUGCCAGCAGCCGCGGUAAUACGGAGGGUGCAAGCGUUAAUCGGAAUUACUGGGCGUAAAGCGCACGCAGGCGGUUUGUUAAGUCAGAUGUGAAAUCCCCGGGCUCAACCUGGGAACUGCAUUUGAAACUGGCAAGCUAGAGUCUCGUAGAGGGGGGUAGAAUCCCAGGUGUAGCGGUGAAAUGCGUAGAGAUCUGGAGGAAUACCGGUGGCGAAGGCGGCCCCCUGGANGAAGACUGACGCUCAGGUGCGAAAGGCGU